rnacentral:rRNA from 1 species
CAUGUCUUUUUGAACUUGAUUUAAGGUUUAAUCUGCUCAAUGAAGUUUAAAUUGCUGCGGUAAAUUAACUGUACUAAGGUAGCAUGAUAAGUUGUUUCUUAAUUGGGAACUUGGAUGAAUGAUUGGACAAGGAAAUCACUGUCUCUUUUGAAUUAUUUGAAUUUAAUUUUUAAGUUAAAAGGCUUAAAUUUUGAUUAAAGACGAGAAGACCCUAUAGAGUUUUAUUAUUUUUUUAUUUUUUUCGUUUUUGUUAUUGUUAUUUAUUUUUAUAUUUAGUUUUAUUGGGGUUGUAAUUAGAUUAAUUUAAUUCUUUUACUUGUUAUCAUUUUUAUUGAAUUUUUUAUCCAUAUUUAAUUAGUUUAAAAUAAAUUACCUUAGGGAUAACAGCGUUAUUUUUUUUCGAAGUUCUUAUUUGAGGAAUAUAUUGCGACCUCGAUGUUGGAUUAAAAUUUAUUAUUGGUGUAGUCUUUAAUAUUAUUAGUCUGUUCGACUAUUAAAUUUUACAUGAUCUGAGU